ACUGCUCAGUAACACGUGGACAACCUACCCUCAGGUCGGGGAUAAACCCGGGAAACUGGGUAUAAUACCCGAUAGAUCUCGGCUGCUGGAAUGCAUCGAGAUCGAAAGCUCCGGCGCCUGAGGAUGGGUCUGCGGCCUAUCAGGUAGUAGUGGGUGCAGCGUACCUACUAGCCUACGACGGGUACGGGUUGUGAGAGCAAGAGCCCGGAGACGGAUUCUGAGACACGAAUCCAGGCCCUACGGGGUGCAGCAGGCGCGAAAACUUUACAAUGCUGGAAACAGCGAUAAGGGGACCUCGAGUGCCAGGUUACAAAUCUGGCUGUCGUGAUGCCUAAAAAGCAUUGCAUAGCAAGGGCCGGGCAAGACCGGUGCCAGCCGCCGCGGUAACACCGGCGGCUCGAGUGGUAGCCGUUAUUAUUGGGUCUAAAGGGUCUGUAGCCGGCCGGAUAAGUCUCUUGGGAAAUCCAGCAGCUCAACUGUUGGGCUUUCAGGAGAUACUGCCUGGCUCGAGGCCGGGAGAGGUGAGAGGUACUCCAGGGGUAGGGGUGAAAUCUUGUAAUCCUUGAAGGACCACCAGUGGCGAAGGCGUCUCACCAGAACGGACCUGACGGCAAGGGACGAAAGCUAGGGGCACGAACCGGAUUAGAUACCCGGGUAGUCCUAGCCGUAAACGAUACUCGCUAGGUGUCGGCCACGGUGCGACCGUUGUCGGUGCCGUAGGGAAGCCGUGAAGCGAGCCACCUGGGAAGUACGGCCGCAAGGCUGAAACUUAAAGGAAUUGGCGGGGGAGCAC
rnacentral:rRNA from 1 species